GUGCCUGGCUAUCCUUUAUAUUUUCUUUGAUGAAGUGUCAGUUCAAAUCUUUUGUCCAUUUUUAAAAAUUGGACAAUUAAAAUCAGUUCCAGUUGCUUUGUUUGGGUUGCUUUUCUUAUUAUUGAGUUUUGAGAGCUCUCUGCAUAUUCUGGAUCUGAGUACUUUAUCAGAUAUGUAAUUUGCAAAUAUUUUCUCCCAGUCUUUGGACUGCCUUUUCAUUUUCUUAACAUUGCCUUUUGAAAAACAGAAUUUAAUUUUGGUGAUGUGCAGUGUGUCAGUUUUUUUUUUUUUUCUUUUAUGGAUCAUGGUUUUGGUGUCAUAUCUAGGAAAUCUUGGCCUAACUCAGUCACAUAGAUUUUCUCCUAUGUUGUCUAUUAAAAGUUUUAUAGUUUCAGGUUUUAUAUUUAGGUCCAUGAUUCAUUUUGAGUUAUUUUUAGUAUAUGAUGCAAGAUAUAGGUUGAAGUUUCUUUUUUGUGUGUAUAUGGAUAUCUGGUUAUACCAGCAUCAUUUGUUGAAAGUACUAUACUUUCUUCACUAAAAACUUCUGUAUGUUUUUUCCCCUUUCUUUUGUCUUCUGCCUCUUUGCCUGGUCAGCCUCCCGUAUCCAAUAAUCUUCUCCUGCUUUGUUACUGUCAAGUACAUUAUUCCCUUUCAUUUUGCCCUGUGCUUUCCUUCUUUGUCCUCAAUUCUACCCAGUCCCUGUCUUCUACUCUUGUGUUGACAUCAGCAGUUUGAUUUCUGCUUUUAUUAAUAUUGUGGCUCUCUCACAAGCUAUGGACAACUUCCUUGGGGUUAAAGUGAGUGGUCUGUCUUCAGGCUUCCUUUUAUUGAUCUCCUCUGUUAAUUGAUGCUAUCAGCUGUCCCUUUUCCUUGAAACACAUGUGUUUGACUUCUGUACUUUCCUGAUUUUCUUCCUCCCCAAUGAUUAGUCUUUCAGUCUCUUUCUUAGGCUUGUCUGGUUUCCGCCCCUUAAACGUGGGUGUUCUCAAGAUUAUAUUUAUAAUCAGCCCUUUGCUUCUUUCUGCAGUCUUCUUCCUUGGAGAGCUCAUCCAUUCCCAGAGCCUGAAGCCAUAUAUCCGUGGCUCACUCUGACCUCAGUUCCCUGCACUCUGCCUCUUCUUAUGUUUGGUCCUAGUUUAAUUGUCCUGAUGUCCUGCAGAUCUACAGGGGACCACAUCAGCUUCCUGACUUCUUUCUCUAGGAAGAGUCCUGCCAUUCUCCUCAUCGCUCAAGCUCAGGCCACCUUCUUCCCUCCUUGCUGUCCAACAUGCACUGAAUCACACUAUCACUGUGAUUUCACUUGAUAUCUGAACGAAAUGAGCACAUCCUUAGGAAGAAAGAUCUAUGAAGUAGUUUUUUUUUUUCUUCCUCUUUCUGUAUUCUUUUGGAGUGGGAGUAGGACAGUGGAGGUGGCAGGUGGUCCAUGUCCAGCUUUCUGCCUAAGCUGGAGCAAGGGUCAGGAGGUAGGUUCCUGUAGCUACCAAUGCAGAACAUGGUCUCAGGAGUGUGUCACCCAGAUUGUAUUAAAUCAUACUGUGGGGACAGUUCUCACAUCUAAGUGGAGUUUUAGUUCAACCUGAUGUUAACAUUAACUGUGGUUCUGGGUGGUGAGUGCGAGGAAGCUGAAGAAGCUUCUCUUAGUGCCAGCAACAUUGAGAAGUAUACCAUCAUUAUUUGUGAACUAAGUGUAAGACAGAAUUACAUCACACUUACUAUUACUCCAGUGUCUUGGGCAGGUGUUCUGGGGGCUGUGUGGAAGCCCUCUGGUUGGGUCAGUAGUCACUCUUCACAUCUCUUCUGGGGCAACUAGAGCUACUCAUCCUCAGGAGUGACCAUGGAUAGACUGAUGAAAAGGCUGCCCUGGCUCUUAAAGGACUUACUGCUGUUCAUGUUCACUAUGUGCUGCACAGACCAGGAAUUAAUUCCACUUUCUGUCUGCUAGACUCUUGAAAUUGGGACAGGCAGGCAGGCGUGCAGCAAAGGAAAUGAGAGAAGCCUAUUAAGGCCAAGGAGAGUGGAGGCUGAAGGCACAUGGGAGUAGACUACAGCCAUGUCAGUGAGUAUCAGGAAGCUCAGUACUCUGUGGGGAAGCUUGUGUUCAGGUACCAAAUGUGGUGGAUGCAGGCAGGGGCCUGGCAGGUGCAUUAUAGCCUGAAGGACUGGGGUGAGGCUAGAAUUUGGCUCAGCCACUUAGUGUAUGUGACUAUGGACCAUUCCUUUAGCCUCUGGGAGCCUCUGUUUCCCAGAGACGACAACCUCCCAGGAUGUGGUCAAUUCUGUGUACAACCCUUUGUGGCUAGGCAGAGGUGCCCCUUGAUGGCCUGUCCUUUUUAUUCCCCUCUAAUUGAUGUUCUAUGUCUCUUGUCUUCCAUGUGAACUUGGUAUCACCUAGGAUCCAUGGCUUUGAGGAUGGCUAGUGCAAGGAUGGUGUCUCAGCUAAUUUGUGCUGCUAUAACAGAAUACCUGAGACCAGGUGUUUAUACAAAAUUUUAUUUUCCUAUAGUUCUGGAGGCUGGGAAAUCUAAGAUGAAGGCUCUGGCAGGUUCAGUUGUCUGGUGAGGGCUACUCUCUGCUUCUAAGAUGGCACCUGAUGCUGUAUCCUUUGGAGGGGUAGCAUGCUGUGUCCUCACAUGGUGACAGGGACAGAAGGGGAAGAGAGCUGGGUGUUGCGUGAAGCCUUUUUAGUAAACGCCUUAAUCUACUCACAGGGGAGGAGCCCUCAUAACCCAGUCACUUCUUAAUACCAUCACAUUGGCCAUUAAGUUUCCACAGCUGAAUUUUGGAGGGGACAUAUUCAAACCAUAGUAGAUGGAAAACAUAUAGACACUUUCUACAGAAGACCCUCGUUACAGUGUUUGUUGAUAUGGGGCAGGCUACUCAGGUUCAUCACUUAAGUAUUUUUAAUGCCUUUGUCUGGAGACAGUUGGUUUUGUCAGGUGAACCUUGUGGCUGUCAAACUUGCAUGGACCAUCCCAUGUUGAGAUGGGACUUCAGUAAGUGUGUUAACAGAUAGGUAUCAGGUCUCCUUUUCCUGCCAGGCCUGCCCCUAGGGAAUGGAAUGACCUUAUGGUGAAGUAUCUCCUUGUUAAGCCUCUUCUAAGGCAAGAACUAACUGCUUUUCCUUGGCAGCCCAAGUAAAUGUUCUCUAUGACAAAUGGCUUUCUGACAUUUGUUUUAUUGUGGCUGUACUUAUUGAAAGACCUGUAUAUAAUUCACUACAAAGAAUUAUCAAAUGAAUGUAAUGAACAUUGUCAGAAACUUGGCUGGAUUUCUGAAGUAUUUUUCUAUUUAUUUUUUUGGAUUUUCAGUCAAAUCAUAUAAUUAUGUUUGAUGAAAUAUCUAGUUCUGCCAGUCAAAAGGGUAAUAGUAUGGGGAUUGCUAAUUUACACAUGAGUCAAAAAUACUCCUCCGAAACACUUUUUAAGCGAGGCAAUAAAAAGUGACUAUUAUGGCUUGAAGUGAGAUAGGCAGACAGCCCCCUACCCAAAUGUCAGAUGUAAACUAACAAAGCAUGGUUACCCUGGACAUUGGAAGGAGCUGGAUGGCCAGCCUGGGGCCCAGAUCUUGGGGCAUUCCCUGCCAGCCUUCCAGCCACUCUCAGAGCAGGCCUGCUUGGAGGAUCUUGGCCCAUUUAUAUGCCGAAGAGGAUCAAAUUGGCUAACACCAAGGCUUUAUAAAUAGUAGGACUGUUUCUCCAGCCUGUCUUCAUUCUGUUCACAGCUAAAAUAUCCUGGCAGCCUGUAACUAAUGAGAACGGAAAAGUACUGUUUGCAGAGACUUUAGCUAGCUGACUUGAAUGCUCCCGUGAUGCUUUGUCACUGAUUGUUGUACUUACUGCUCUCUGGGGGUGGCCGUUCCUUCCCUUCCAAGUUGAGCUGGGCCUCAGGUAAUGAAAACAUCAACACUCUGACCAAGACCCCAAGAUGGUCACAAGGAAAGUCCAUUUUGUCCUCAUGAGAGUAUGACCACACACACGCUCACUGGCUGAGAGCUGUGACACCCAGAGGUCAUAGGCCUGGCCAAGUCUAUAGGACUUGAAUAGUCUACCCUCAUGUGUCAGUUGGGGAUAAUAAUUGGACUGGUAUGGACCCAUAGGUACGUGUGCAGUAAUGUCAGAUACAUCUAAUAUGUUUUCUCACGUGAGCUCUGUACUACUUCUGCAAUGGAAGUGUUGUUUCUCUGACUUUACUGAUGAGCAGAGUGGAGGCUUAGAAAGCCAAGGUUGUAUCACCAAUCAGUGGGUGGGCAGGGAUUUUUGACUGCAGGGUCUGUGUCCUUAAAUACUGGUUUCUGUUCUCCUUUAUCUGGAAUUCUUGAAGGAUGUACCUUGCAUUAAACAAAUUAGACAUGUAAAACCUCUUUGCCUUGGCUUUUCACUUUCUCAUUAGAGAACUCAUCGCUUCAUAGAACUUUACAUCAGCUAAAAGUUGUCAUAACGGAUUUCCAUGCAGUGUAUGUGACUGUUUGUGUUAUGUUCAUUUCUGUCUAGAUAUACCUUCCACUGAGCACACCUAUGUGCACAUACACAACCACCCCUCUUCCCUUCCAAAAACAAAACAGGAAAAGACCAGAGGCAGUCAUUGUUGAUAUGGAGAAACGUGCAGAGACCUUAUGAGGCAGAUGACAUUGGAGGUCAGCAGUUGAGAAGGGGCAAGCGCCUGGUCAGAAGGAAGAACCUGUGCAAAGAAAUGAUACCAUUGAAGGGAUCCUGAUACUCCUGUGUUCCUGGGGGAAGGGAGUGAUAGGGAUGGGGCUGGGCAGGGACCAUGCUGUGCAUGUGUCUGCCCUGCCAAGACCCUGAUUCAUGCUAAAGAAUUGGGGCUUAUCUUUAGAAAUUGGGGCAGUUUAUCUAACUCAAGAGUGUUUGCUCAGAUUUGUCAGAGAGGUAACAGGCAGCAGUCAGGGUGGCCAAGGUAGGGGAUGCAGAAAGGAUACAUAGUAGGCAGCUGUUGCAGUUCAGGGGUGUAUGUAGUUCAGGGAAGAUACAGAGAUAGUGCUGUGUUCUUUGGAGUGUAAGGGGCAGGCAGCGGGAAGGGUCAGCCUAAGGAAACCAGUGAGAUGGAGGAGAGGGACGGCAGGUGAGGGUGGAGGGGUGGAGGAGAGGGACAGCCUGAGGAGUCUAAGGGUGGGACAUUCAUGUCAGAUGUUGUGGAGGUAUCAGAUGGGCAGAAACUCAGAAAAGCAAGUUUGGUUAUGAUUCUUGGAAGUCACUUGCGAUUGGUAGAGAUUUCACGGUGGGGCAUAUUGGAAGAUGAGGUGGAAAGAAAAUGACUCAAAAUGUUUUGCUGGGAAUAAAAAGAAGAAGGCAGCAGCCUGAACAGAAGGCUGGUUGAAAGAAGAGCUUGGGGAUCCAAGAGACCAAGUGAUACAGGGUCCCACAAAGGGGAGUAGGAGUUUUUCCCAGGCCCGUAGGACUCAGCAUUACUGAUAGUCAGUGUUGGUAAUUAAUGUCAAAGUUGGAUGUUACAUAGUCUUCAAUUAGUAGAGGAGUUUUGCUCUGUCAAAUAAUUCUUCACUUUACCAAAAGGACUUACUGUAAGAUUCUGUUAAAUAGGGAACUUGAGUUUGUUGAGGUUUUCUCUUUGUAAAUAUAUAUAAAUGCUGCACUUGUGUGAGGUUCCUCAGGGAUGGGGCCCUGUCUCCCAGCCAGAAAAGCUUUCUGUUCUUUACAUCCACCUUCGCCUGUCCCCAGACCUGGGACACCCGGGGUGGAGUGAACAAGUCUUGGAGGGAACGAACAUUUGUGUUUAUCUGGGUGCUUUCUCAGAAAGAAGAGGGGCAGAGGGGCUGCUUUUCUUUUUCUGGCUUUCUCUUUUUAGAUUUAAAGGCCCAGGAACAGGUGAUAAGAGGCAUUGAGAUGAAAAGGUAAAAGUGUUGGGCAGGGACCCUGAGUCUGUAACCUUCCUUGUGCUGGCCUGAGCCUUCCUCAUUCCAGAAUUCUGUUCUCAAUACAGCAUACCUGGUUUUGCUCAUAGAAAAAUCUCUAGCCUUUUCACAUGAUAGCUUCUUUUAAAGGUGAGAGGUAUCCAAAUGCAUUAGGCUUAGAUUAACACACCUAGAAUCUCACUUUUAUGAGAAUUUCAUAGAUUAUGCUCUUGAAUUCCAGCUGUACAUUUUUGCUUGCAAACACAGGCAUUUCAGAGUAUAACGAGAGGAGGUUGGUGCUCAUAAAGAAGGCUGACUUCACAGUAAACCACCUCCCAGGGGAACUGAAGAUGGGGCUUGAGCUGAGGUGGGGUCUCCUCUCCACCAUCCUGAGCAGCAGCUGGGCCCCAGGUCUCCCAGACAGUCAAGGACGUUGGCCUAAACAGCAUCCAGCUCUUAGAAGUCUUGUGAAAUUGGGCCAGGCGUGGUGUCUCACGCCUGUAAUCCUAACAUUUAGAAGGAGGCUGAGGCAGGCAGAUCACUUGAGGCCGGGAGAUCGAGAUUAGCCUGGCCAACAUGGUGAAACCCCAUCUCUACUAAAAAUACAAAAAUUAGCUGGGUAUGGUGGUGCAUGCUUGUAAUCCCAGUUAUUCAGGAGACUGAGGCAGGAGAAUUGCUUGAACCCGGGAGGCAGAGGUUGCAGUGAGCCAAGAUCACGUCACUGCACUCCAGCCUGGGUGACAGAGUGAGACCCCAUCUCAAAAACAAACAAACAAAAAAAAAGAAUUCUUGUAACAUUGAAAACAAAACUCAGACUUUGGCUACCUGAAUCUUGUUUAAUGUACUAGGAAAGCUGGUAAUUUAAAGGUAGCAAAUGUGGAAUGUCUUUUUUAAGAUUAGUGUGCAGUCUCACUGUACCUGUUUUCUGUUCGUUUUUUUUAUGUUGGAUGUGUUCAAAGCUCAUCCCACCUGUAUCCAGAGUGUGUUAGAAACUGUGUUGGAUGUGGUUGUUCUCUUUCUGGAAGGUAGGGCUCCCAUGACAGCCAUAUAGACUCUCUUAAGCAUAAAAUAAACCAAUAAACAAAAUGCCUACUUUCUGUAUGAAUACAUUGUCAUUCGAUGUCGUGGUGUAAAGUGUGAAGGUGCUAUAAAGAAAAGGGGAGAGUUUGCCCCUCUUGUAGUUAGGGAGGAAGCUCAGCUUUGGUAAAGACUUGAGGGUGAGAGGGAAGUGACUGAAUGAGUCAGCUGAGACAGGAGAAAAUGGGUGAGGUGAGGUGAGCCUCCACCUUGUCACCUUGGCCCCUCCCACCUUCAGCCCUUCUCAGGUAGAAGUGGUUCAGUCUCAGUGUCUCUGGACACCCUGGCUCUGCCCUGGGUCCCCCAGGCGCAUACUGUCUUGCAUGUGCUUACACUUUCAGGCUGGCUGGCAGUCUCUGCUGGUGCCCCCAAACAGCCUCUGGAUCUACUCCCUUUGGCGUUCUGCAGUCUACUCUCCAUGUGGCAGCUGUGCAUUGACCUUUUAAAACAACCAAAUAACAUUGGUCCCUGUUCCAACCUUGCAGUAGCUUGCAAUCACUUUUUAAAUUAAAUUCUGAACUCUGUUUUAAAAAGCCCUGUGCUGAUCUUGGCUAGUAAGAUAGCUUCUCUUCAUUGAUAACAAUAUUAUUUGUAUUAAUAAUCUACAUCAGUAAAAAUAUUAAUGAUGGUGACAGUGAUGACUGCAGCUAACACUUAUUCUGAGCCUUCUCUGUUGACCAAAGGCUCUGAGUGCCACUUAAUCGCUUUUGAUUAACUCCAAGUUUGUAAGUCCCAUGUUGUUCCCAUCUUUUCUCACUAAAUAGAAUAGACUAUUAGUCCCUUGCACCUACAAUAGUAAGGGAACCUGGGCCAGUAUUCUCUGAGUAGCAGGUGGGGCAGACUCUGAUGUGUGGGCUAGCUGUGGAGUCCUGUCCUGAAGCCUGGGAUCCAAGUGUGGGUAAUCCUAGCUGUGAAGGUGGCACAGAGAAGCCAGAGACUGGACAGAGGCUGGGCAGGGCAGGUAGACAUGGCGAGUCCUUGGCUGGGCCGGAUGUGGUGUUUCUGAUGCUUUCAUACUUCAGGCAGAGUAAAUUGGUGCUGUUGUUGGUGGGAGCAAAAUUGGACAAUGUGGAAUUCAUUUCUCCCUAGAAGAUGGGGUGGUUCUUGGUACUGAUAGUCCUCCUACAUAUGAUAUCGUCAAGAAAACAAAAGACAACCUCACUAGUUAUAUCAAAGUAGUUUAGUCUAAGAAUCAUUCAAAAUCUACUGUUGCCAUGCUGUGAGUAAAGCUAAGAAACCAACAUGACAGUGCCCUCCACAUACUGACUGUUGUGAAAACAUGCCUUGUUAUUUUUGGAAAGUCCUCUUGGUAGAUCACUAACAUCUUCGCCCCCAAAACGGCAGGAGCAGUAAAUAACAACCUUCUAGAUAAAGCAAAUGGGAAAGCAUUGCCAGAAUUUGCUAUAUCAAGUGCUGUGAACAGUGGCAGCCAGCAGGGAAAUUAUGCAGAGGGAGAAAAGUGCUUUUAUUUGCUUUUCAAAGUUAGUGGGACUGGAGGAAUAUGGGAAAUGGGAAGAAAAAGAGGAAAAAAUGAGAAAAAUACAGUCAUCUUCAGUUGAAAAUGGUGUAAACCUUUUUGCUUACGACUGUAAUUCAGUAUCAAGGGCAGGAAACUGUUAACUGAGGUAUUACUAAUAACCUUAUGUUGGUGAGAGAGAGAGCUCACUAUGUAUGAAGACUGGUAAGAGCUUGUAAGUCUCACAACAGCAUAAGAGUUGGGAUCAUUAUUGUUCCCAUUUUCUAGAUGAGGAAAUUGAGGCUUUAAUGAGAUUGAGGAAUUUGCUCAAAUUACACAGCUAGUAUGAGCUGAAGCCCACAAUUCAGACUAUGGGCUGGCUUGAACCACAUGGUCUGAAUUGCCACAGCUGCAGAUUUAAACCUCUCCCGCCUUCCCCUCUUUGAUGUUAGUUGGCAUGGUGUAUUUGUGAAAACUAAAACCAGAAAAAUC